GGGGGAUUAGCUCAGCUGGGAGAGCGCUUGCAUGGCAUGCAAGAGGUCGCAGGUUCGAUCCCUGUAUCCUCCA
rnacentral:tRNA from 4 species